GGCCCAGGAAGCGUCGGAGGGGAGCUGGGCAGCGCAUUUGGAAACGAUUGGGGAGUCUUGGUGGGGGCCAGCUGACGGCGACACCCGGGAAACUUUCUGAGGGGGAGACGCCGAGGAUUGUGCCCGUCGCCAAACCCACAGGCAAGCGGGGCCCGAGACGGUUUCUCGUCGUUGCCACCGGGCGGCCCUUCCCCGGCUCCGCCCGCCGCUGCCGGGAGAACCGUGCGGGCGGCGGGGGCGGCAGCGCCGGGCGCCGCGGCCGCCUCCGCGGGGCGGCCUGACAUGAGAUCAUCGCCGGCGGCGGCAGCGGCAGCAUGGCCUCUGCCAGGAGCGGCGGCCGCGCCGGGCCGAGGGACGAGGAGGCCAACGGCGACCUGGACCGCUCCCUGCAGCAGAUGCUGCGGGCGAUAGCGGAGGAGCGGAGUCGCGCCGGCCUCCGCCAGGAGAUCAGCGGCCUCGGGUGUUUCAAAGAUGACCGUAUUGUAUUCUGGACUUGGAUGUUUUCAACAUAUUUUAUGGAGAAAUGGGCCCCCCGACAAGAUGAUAUGCUGUUCUAUGUCCAUCGGAAACUGUCCUACGUCAGUGGUGAUAGUACAGAGGGGAAAAAGCAGGUUGAAGUUGAAGUGUACCGGAGAGAUUCUAAGAAACUUCCUGGCCUGGGAGACCCUGACAUUGACUGGGAAGAGAGUGUCUACUUGAACCUCAUCCUACAGAAGCUGGAUUAUGUGGUGACAUGUGCUGUAUGCACACGCUCUGAUGGAGGAGAUAUUCACAUUCACAAAAAGAAAUCUCAGCAAGUGUUUGCAUCUCCUAGCAAACACCCAAUGGACAGUAAAGGAGAAGAGUCAAAGAUCAGCUACCCCAACAUAUUCUUCAUGAUUGACAGUUUUGAAGAGGUUUUCAGUGACAUGACUGUGGGAGAAGGGGAAAUGGUCUGUGUAGAGCUGGUGGCCAGUGACAAAAGCAACACUUUCCAAGGCGUGAUUUUUCAGGGGUCCAUCCGCUAUGAAGCACUCAAGAAGGUCUAUGACAACAGGGUGAGUGUUGCAGCUAAGAUGGCUCAAAGAAUGUCUUUUGGCUUUUAUAAAUACAACAACAUGGAAUUUGUCCGAAUGAAGGGACCACAAGGGAAAGGACAUGCAGAGAUGGCAGUGAGUAGAGUUUCUACUGGUGACACUUCACCUUAUGGGACAGAAGAAGAUUCAAAUCCAGAUUCCCCAGUGCAUGAGAGAGUCACAUCUUUCAGCACACCGCCAACCCCGGAACGCAACAAUCGCCCAUCAUUUUUCUCCCCAUCCCUCAAGAGAAAAGUGCCCCGAAAUCGAAUUGCUGAGAUGAAAAAAUCCCACUCUGCAAAUGACAGUGAGGAGUUCUUCAGAGAUGAUGAAGGCGGAGAUCUGCACAACGCGACAAACCUGAGGUCACGAUCCUUAUCUGGAACGGGACGGUCCCUGGUGGGUUCGUGGCUGAAGCUGAACAGAACAGAUGAAAACUUUCUACUCUAUGCACACUUAACUUACAUCACUUUGCCAUUGCAUCGAAUUUUAACAGAUAUCCUAGAAGUGCGGCAGAAACCAAUUCUGAUGACAUAGCAGAGAACGGGCACUGCCUUGGAGCCUUGUUGCCAAGUGCCUAACCACAGCGGUUUUCUGUGCUAACACUACCAUCUAGUGUCAGGAACAUAAACCUCCGCAGGAAAAAGGGAAGUCCGAGAAUACCAGCCGAUCAAAAGUGCCUCUUUCUUCCUUCCUCUGCUGUCAUACACCGUAUGCCCACUUGAAAUACAUCACUUGAGUGUUUCUGAUUGGAAGAGGACUUUCAGCAAGAUAAAACGAGAAGGGGCAAUGUUUAAAAACAAGUCAACGCUUUACGGACGGUUUGUUACUGUGUUUACUUUAUAACUAAGAAACCAACAACAUGUACAGAAUGUGUUAAACUUUAUACUCUUUCAGAGAAACAACCUGAGAAUUUCAUAAUGAUGUACUAAUGAACGUCGUUCCAUAGACUCUCGCCCAUACACUCUUCUUGUUAGUUUGACUUAAUGUGUGUGUGAGAGUGUGUAUGUGUGGGAGGGUAGACUGAAGGGAUGAGAGAACAAUUUCCUAUCAAGAGGGGAAAAGGAAGAAGAUGCUACAAAGAUACAUUGCCAUUUUGGUACUUGCAGCAGGGUCAGAUCACAGCUUAAAAGAGGCUGAAAGUGUUCCCUGUCGUUUGUGUGUCAGUGUUAGGACAGGUGAACUCUGCUGACAGAUUUCCGUAUCUACCAAAGAACAGACACAUUUUCAUCCUCAAGAGCUGGCUAAGAAAGUGAGCCAGUGAAAAGAAGGCUAAAAUGUGCUGCUAUAGUAAAGACGAGGUUCAUAUCCAGUACUAAUGCUGCUUAACUCUGUUAGCUGAGAUGGCACAAGUUUGAGUCUAGAGCAGAAAAAAAAAGGAGGCUGUAAUCAGAGUCCAAAACCUAAGAACCUUAUCAAUAACCAACAUCGUCCUGCAUGCGCUGGACCUCAGAGUAUGCAGAGCCAUCCUUCUGGUAGCGUUUGUAGCCCAGAAGGGCAUGGAAGCUGAUUCCGUGGCUGGGCAGUUUGCCCCAGGUUCUUCAUCUCCUGGUGGUGUUCACUGUGCUGUUACAUGCCAAAGCACAGGGAAUUUUCUUGAAAGGCUAAAGACAGAAAUGGAAUUCUGCUCUGAAAAGUGACUAAAAAUUGCACAGUGGGAGACCUGAAAGUGAUGUGUCGGCAGCUCUCAGGAAAAAAAGCCUAAUGUUUACAGGUAAAAUGCAGCUUUCUCUAACUAGCAAAGCUCUGCUGUCUUUGACAUUUGAAAGCUAAGUGCUUGGAUACUGAGACUACUGCGGCCUGGCUCACGGUCGUGAUCCGGGAGCCAGUCAGCGCUUCAGUCUGCUUCCGACUGCACAACUGACAUGGCAGCGGGAGGGAUGACACGUCACUGAGGGCACACAGGAAUCCAGUACACGCACAGAGGGAGAGCAAAGGGGCCAUUUUUGUCACUUUUCAGACUCUUAGCACCUAAACUUAACACUGUUUCCACAGUUACCGAAUGUCACGUGCUCUGAGCCUGGACCUUUGACUCCCUCAUACCCAGCCUUUUUUCAGAGUGAUUUGUUGUUAUUCUCUCAACGGCAUCUGAUGACUUAACCUCUCAAACAGGACUUUCUACUCUUUUUUUUUCCCCUCAGACCAGGUUCCAUGGGAAUAUCUCCACUUCAGCAUAAAGGUAGAUUAACUUCUGUCAUUCAGCCCAACAUGAUCAAUCCAGCAUGAGCAAUAUUGCUGGGGAAUUCCAUCAAAAGCAGUUCACUAGUCUACAGAGUCUUCAAAGUCAACUUUCAGGUGGAAAUACCGUGCUCAUCAAAGUCAGAAGUAGAGAACGCCUUAAGUCUGCUCCAAGUCUAGAGGCAUCCCAUUGUUCUGAAGGACAAGAAAAUUGGAAGAACCCACUCUUCCAUCUGUACUCAUGACUGGAAGUGUCAGACUAGAUUUUGCUUUGAACAUGAGGUUGAUAAAUGUAGCAUCAAAGAACAAGGAGAGUUACGUGCUCUUUGGUAAGUGCCUCUAUGGUUAACCUACCCAGCACCUAAGGAGAAGCAUAGGUGGUUGUUCACAGUACUCAUUUCUGACUUCAUUGUAAAGGUAAGAAAACACUUAUAAACUGACAAAGUAGUUCCCUUUGGUAUGUGAUUUCGCUUCUAUGUGAGUUUUCCUUGUGUCUGCAGCUGACAGAAUCGUCAUUUGCAGGUAAGAAGAAGAGUGCCUCAAGUGCCCACCAUUUCUGAUAGGGCUCCAAAACUAGCAUUGACUGUAAUUUAGACCAAAAAAAUUGUACUGUAUUGUCUCAUCUAUGAUACAAAGGAGUAAACGAAAGUCAGAGACUCUUUACUCAGUAAAGAGUAAAUUUGCCUGAGCAGGCAAAUUCUGUUCUUGGCUUUGAAGCCUCUGCAGACUUCCAGAGAUGAUCCAUUUCUGUUCUACCUCUCUGUAAAGGUUGUGAUGUUUGUAAUAGUAACACCCACUCAACUGAUUAAUUUGUUUAUAUCAUAGUACUAAUUCAGGAUGCUCAGAUACAAGUAAGAAUUUCUAAAUGAGUACAGUGCCUUUAAAAAAUAUUAGCAGUAUACUACCCUCACAGAAAAUUGGGUAAGCAUAUCAAUGACUCCUUCAGACAAGGUAAAUGCUGCUUCUGCCUCAUCUUAUUCAGCCUUUGGUUCUUGUGUGUUGCUCCUCCUGUGUUUCCUGCAGUGGUCACACGGACACAUGCUGUGACUACUGCAGUAGUUCAGAUUACACACAUCCAGCCAUGAUCAUCUACAGAAAAUCCAGUUUGUUUCUCUUCUCCACUUAAACUUCAGUUGUCUUGUCUGUUUUCUGACCUUCCUGUGAAGCGUUUACCAAACUUUGAGUCUGAACUCAUACACAGCUUCAAAUGUCAUACAUGUGUGUCUUGAGUAACGCACAUGUAAGGGUGCAUUACUCAAAAUUACUUGGCUGGCUGUUGCUCUCCACCUGGUGUUCAGUUUUGUCUCUUGCAGGAGAUUGAUUACAGCAGGUCACCUGUCUAUCAGUGCACCAUUUGGAUCACAAUUAACAUUUCCUUGUGUCAUGGGUUUGUGUGGAGACGCUUUUUGCUUGGUAACGGAGGGAGCUGCAGUGCUGGUCCCAGUAAGCAGUUCUCAAAACGUCCCCCAGCUCUGAGGUAAGCCCACCUCCAGCUUGGCCGGAUCAAUCUGGUGCCUCCACCAUCACUAUUUAAGAGAAAUCUGGGCCAGAAGAGGAGGUGAAGAGUGGGACAAAAUUAAGGCAAUCAUGUGGACCCCAUAGAGAAGGAGAGGAGAAGGAAUUCAGAAAAAGAGCAACAGACCUGAGAUUCCUCUGCAGCCCGUGGUGAGAACACAGCUGUGCCCCUGGAACCCAUUGCAGGGCAAUGGCAGGCCUGAGAGCCACCAGCAGCUCCGGGUGAUUGUGCCCAGACAGGCGAGAGAUUGUGAGGAGGCAGCCAUGGUGCAGGCUGUGCUGGAGAGCCUGCAGGCCCUAGAGACCCACACAGGAGUGGAGAGGAGCUGCAGCCCUCAAGAUGAACACACAUAGGAGCGGCCCAUGCAGGACUGCUGGGUGUGUGAGGGACUCUGUGCUGGAGCAGGGAGGACUGGCGAGGAGCUCAUCUGCCCUGAGGAGAGACAAACAGCAGAAGCCACCAAGAAAGGACUGACCCCCAUUCCCUGCCCCCUGAGCCGUUCAUGGUGGGAGGAGAUAAAGAUACCAGGAUCAGGGCUCUGGGAGCCCAGCAAGAGGGGAGGGGUGGGGAGAUGGUCUUAAAGGGCUGGUUGUGCUCUUGAUCAUCAUCCCACUGUGUUGUUUCCUGUUUGCUAUGUUUUGGGGUUUACAUUUUUGGUUGGUGGGGAAUUAAAUUAAUUUCUGUUUUCUUCCCCAAGCUGAGUAGCCUGGUCUGUUUUGCCUGGGACCGUAAGUGGAGAGUGAGCCCUCCCUGUCUUUAGGAUGUUCCAAAGGCCCUUGCUACUAAUGGCUGAUUGUAGUCCUGUUGCCAGAUGUAGCUGUUGGUGUGUACAGAACCUGUAGCUUAUUCUUGAUGUGUAUUUCAGAUGAAUCAGUUCUAACUUCUGUAUGAUUCAGUUGCUGCAAGUUAUUUUCCUGAUGGAUGAGGAAAGAGGCUGACUUUGAUUAACAUAGACUGUUCUUGGACUGUUGCGUUUUCUUAGUCUGGAUGUUCAGAACUUGCUGUCUUCUGCACUGUUACUUUCACCCUUUCCUGUUGUGCCAGUCUUUGGUGAUUAGCAAAGCAUUAAGCAUUGGAUGUUCUAGAUUGACAAAGCCUGAAACUAGUAGUGAGCUCUUUUAUACUCUUGAGAACUGUUACUUCAUUUUCUUUUCUGUAUGGCUACUGAAAGACAGGGAGAUUCUGUAUGCAGUGCUGGCUUUUUAAGUAGAAGGAAGUGAGAGACGUCCAAAAUAUGGAAUAAUGCCAACAUCCUAAGUGCAUGAAGUUGUGGGUUCGUUGGUUUAAAAGAAAAAAAUGUAGUCCUGGGCAAUUUAGGUGGAAAAGUGGCACUCUGGUGGUAGCAACUGCAUCCUUAAAAAUGGGAACAUAGGUUCAUGUUUUUCUCAAUCAUUUUAUUUCAGAGGUGAUGUCAAGAUAAUGUUUGAUAAUCAUUGUGUCCUCAUGCAAGAAGUUCUUCCCAUGUGUGGGGACAAAGUGGAUAGCUCCAGAACUAUAAAUGGAAUCUAGGUAGAGCUAAGCCGCACAAUAGUAGCCAACAGCAGGAGGCACAGCUGCAUGACAGGUGCCCUCAUCGCCUCAGCAGUUGCUGGUCCAUCGGAAAGAUGACCUACAGUUGUCUUGACAAGCCUGUCUUGAUUUUAUUCUCCUUUUUUUCCCUUCUGUUUGCUAGUCUGUCACCAACCAAUGAAGAGAAGAAUUGGCCUGGCUUUAGGAUAGUGUUUUAAGGCUAUAUCUAAAAAUAAGUUUGGCAAAUCACCAGGCAAACAGAGAUUACUUCUGCUCUUAAAUCUUUUGAUAUUCAAGUGAAAGGACGUUCAGAGGUCAAUCACUGUAGUCGUUCUCUUAACAUGUUAAGAAUUAGUUUUUCCCUCUCUAGGCAAAGGCAGCCCUAGCU